GAACUCAGCAACAACUUUCUCUGCACUUUGAGUGAAUUGAGCAACGGUUAUAGCAAAUUGAACCAGGGAUGGGGGAAAUUAUGCGGGCAUCCCCGUCUCCUACAUAUGUUAGAGUGAAAUCAACUUAGCAGAUAUACAAUGAGUAGUGUCUCUGCCAGAUUUAGUAGAGGAGAAUCAACAUAUAUGAUGCACACGUCUCUUUGUUCUACUUAUAAAAAGGUGAUUUGGGUGAUUGGGUCUCUUUGGUUUGAUUGCAGAACAAGCAAAUCAAACUCCACUUCUUACUGCUAGUUGCAACAUUGCUUCAAUUGACAUAAUUCAGACGCUAUCUUGGAGUUUCCUACUUUGCAAGAUGAAGAAAUUGAAGAUUAAAGAACGAGAUGUGAAAGAUAAUUGUGGAGCGUGCUGGAAAGAAUAAUAUAUUUUUAUUGUUGGUGCAGAGACGACAUUUUCUGUGCUAAUGCUACAAUUUUAUUUUCUUAAUUUUUAGGAUUUGAUAGAUAUCGAACACAUGUUUUAUUAUGUCCAGGAUGUAUGUUUUUUAGAUAUUUUGUUGAACAUAUAAGUUUUUAGUAUUUAAAUCAAUGUGAUGUUUAUGUUAUUUAUUAA